rnacentral:rRNA from 1 species
AACGAACGCUGGCGGCAGGCUUAACACAUGCAAGUCGAGCGCCCCGCAAGGGGAGCGGCAGACGGGUGAGUAACGCGUGGGAACCUACCUGAAGGUACGGAACAACUCCGGGAAACCGGAGCUAAUACCGUGUGUGCCCGAAAGGGGAAAGAUUUAUCGCCUUCAGAUGGGCCCGCGUCAGAUUAGCUAGUUGGUGAGGUAACGGCUCACCAAGGCGACGAUCUGUAGCUGGUCUGAGAGGAUGACCAGCCACACUGGGACUGAGACACGGCCCAGACUCCUACGGGAGGCAGCAGUGGGGAAUAUUGGACAAUGGGCGCAAGCCUGAUCCAGCCAUGCCGCGUGAGUGAUGACGGCCUUAGGGUUGUAAAGCUCUUUCGACGGGGACGAUAAUGACGGUACCCGUAGAAGAAGCCCCGGCUAACUUCGUGCCAGCCGCCGCAGUAAUAC